GAAAUGCGAUACGUAGUGUGAAUUGCAGAAUUCAGUGAAUCAUCGAAUCUUUGAACGCACAUUGCGCCCUUUGGUAUUCCAAAGGGCAUGCCUGUUCGAGCGUCAUUUGUACCCUCAAGCUUUGCUUGGUGUUGGGCGUCUUUUUGUCUCUCCCCUUGUUGGGGGAGACUCGCCUUAAAACGAUUGGCAGCCGACCUACUGGUUUUCGGAGCGCAGCACAAAUUUGCGCCUUCCAAUCCACGGGGCGACAUCCAGCAAGCCUUUGUUUUCUAUAACAAAUCCACAUUUUGACCUCGGAUCAGGUAGGGAUACCCGCUGAACUUAAGC
rnacentral:misc_RNA from 1 species